rnacentral:rRNA from 1 species
AUUGAACGCUGGCGGCAGGCCUAACACAUGCAAGUCGAACGGUAACAGGAAACAGCUUGCUGUUUCGCUGACGAGUGGCGGACGGGUGAGUAAUGUCUGGGAAACUGCCUGAUGGAGGGGGUAACUACUGGAAACGGUAGCUAAUACCGCAUAACGUCCCAGGACCAAAAAGGGGGAACUUCGGGCCUCUUGCCAUCGGGUGUGCCCAGAUGGGAUUUGCUUGUAGGUGGGGUAACGGCUCACCUAGGCGACGAUCCCUAGCUGGUCUGAGAGGAUGACCAGCCACACUGGAACUGAGACACGGUCCAGACUCCUACGGGAGGCAGCAGUGGGGAAUAUUGCACAAUGGGCGCAAGCCUGAUGCAGCCAUGCCGCGUGUAUGAAGAAGGCCUUCGGGUUGUAAAGUACUUUCAGCGGGGAGGAAGGGAGUAAAGUUAAUACCUUUGCUCAUUGACGUUACCCGCAGAAGAAGCACCGGCUAACUCCGUG